rnacentral:lncRNA from 1 species
AAAUGGGAAGAUAAUCAUAAAGAUUCUGCCUACCUUCUCCCCAAGUUUAAAUGCUGGUAGACCCUUGUAUGGGCACGUACUGCACCGAAAAGCAUCUCCCAGUCCACACUGCAAGUUGUAUUAACGUUAACAUGCAGAACAGAGGUACAUCAUUCAUGGAAGAAUGUCCAUAAAAACACAAGGAUAACCAACACUUGAUGCCAUUUCAUAAAUCAUAAAGCAAAAGACUAUCCAUAAACAAAAAACUGCACUCGAUGAUAACUAUGAUUCCAUUUAUUUUUUUCUUACGUUGCCACAUGCAGAUUGAGGAUUUUCCAACAAAUCUGAAGUCAAUCCCAGUUUCUCUACUUUCUCCUCUGCUUCGGCCCUACCACAAGUGCAGUUCUUGCAAGCUUUCCUUGUGCUGCUAACUUCACAAUCACCAACUGUGCAACAAAUUAAAUAAUACACCGUAAUCAAUACCCACUAAAUAAAAUCACAGUUAAAUUACUAGUUUAAUCUCUACUUUCAAAGUGUCUAUUAGAUGCAAAAGUCUGAAAUUUCAAUCUUGUGUCUAAUAAAGUUUCUAAUAUUUCCAAUUUUAUAUGUAAUAAAUCUCUAAUAUAUUAAAAAGAAAAAUUUAAAACUAAUAGAUGAUUGAUCUUUUAGGUUAAAAAAUGAGUUUUAUGUUUAGUACAACUCUAAAGUUACAAUUUAAACAUAUGUGAUUUUUUAAGAAAAAAUAUGUCUAGGACCUAUUUGAUACAAAACUAAAAUUGGAGAUCCUAUUGGGGAAAUAAAGUUGAAGUUUAAGAUCUAUGAGAUAAUGGAACUUUAUGGACAAAAUAAAAAGUUUAAAAAUCUGUUAGGUGAUUUUUAAAGUUCAAGGACCUAUUGGCACAAAAUGAAAGCACAGACCUACGAGAUAUUUUUAAGAGUUCAAUGAUCGAAUUGACAGACCUGAAAGUUAAGCAAAUAACCUUGAACUUACCCAAAUUUAAUAUAUAAUAUAUGUCAAGCCUUUCAUUGUUUACCUGGUAGCUGAGGUUUCUUCAAAUCCUCCGCAGUCAAUAAACUAUCUUCAUCGAUCAAAUCAGAAUCAUCAUCAAGCUGAAUCUUUGGUAGAAUUUUUGCAGGCUUCUUAAUAGCAAAAGAGGAGCCAAUUUUCCAAGAAGGUCUUUUGGCUCUUAUCUAUGUACAAAAAAGGAACACAACGAUUAUAAAAUGUUACAAGAAGUCAAAACAGAAAUAAACAAUGAAUUUGGGAGAACAGAUGAAAGUGAAAGUUGCACAAUUAGAAAACAGAUGCAAACACUCGGUCCAACUGAGAAAUCACAUAAAAAAAUAAACAGUCAUAAUUAGAUUUAAUAAAAAGAAUGAGAGAGAGAGAGAGAGAGAGAGCUCCCUUGCCGCCGUCCUUCGUGUUGAUGGCCUCCGACUAUUCCUUUCCCUGCAACCUCCCGUCCUCACUGCUCUACCUACUUCCUCCGCUUCUCUCUCCAUCCCCUACUGGUUCUACCCUCUCCGAUCAUCUCUCCACUGAACGACUAUGGGGACAUCAAAACGGACUUCGAUAAAAAUCGAAAACAAAGUCUUCUCUUGUGAGUUUGAUUCGAACAGCAGAGGAAGGGUGAUUCGCCUAACUGAAGCUCAUUUGAACAAGUCUUAUACCCUUUUAGGAGAGGAAACUCUUUUUGUUUGGCUGGUUGACUCCUUGGAGGAAGUUCUACAGACCCCGAAGUCCCAAAAUUUUUUUAGAAAGACAUUCUGUAAUGGAGGGUUCACCUGGAUUCAAAAAACGACAAACAAGAGAGGAAGCUUUUUGGAGAUUUCGAAGGUGCUGAAGUCGGGGAAAAAAGGAAACAUAGUGGUCCCAGCUGGUGUUGAUUUAAAAGGCUGGGAAAGUUUUAGGUGCUUAUUGCUCGACUUUUUGAAUGCUGAAGUCAACUCUAGGGCCUUUCAUUCUGAGAAGAAAUUAACCCAUAAGCCUUCUUUUGGAAUCAGACCGGAAACUCAUUAUCAGCUUCGUCAUCCUUUGCGAAUCUCUAACCAUGGAAAGCAUCCAAGUGUAAUUCUCAGUCAAGAGGAAGGCAGAAGCAAAGGAGAAAAAAGAGUUAGAAAGAUUUGCUGGGAGGAUACACCGGUGGUCACUAAGCGCGAUUUCCACGAUGACUGGCAGAGGAUUUUGGAUGUCCUUCAGACUCAAACACAAAAAACCUUUAUUAUCAAUCCGUUCCACGCUGACAAAGCUUUGCUCAAAUGCCCUGAUCAGACGAUAGCUAGACUUCUCACGAUGAACAAGGGCUGGGCUACCUAUGGCCCUUUAACCUUGAAAAUGGAAAUGUGGGAUCCAAAAAAACAUGGGAGAAUGUCGCUUGUUCCAUCUUAUGGAGGAUGGAUUAAACUAAGAAAUUUUCCCCUGCAUCUAUGGAACGAGGAGGUGUUUAAGAGGGUUGGUGAUAAGCUUGGAGGCUUCAUUGAGUUUGCGGAAGAAAAUUCGAGCCUCAUUAACUGCUUGGAAGUGAAUAUCAAAGUUAGAGGGAAUUAUUGCGGCUUCAUUCCGACAGAUUUUGAGCUGAUAGAAGGAUCCGAUUCUUAUCUUGUGCAGGUGGCUUCCUUCCAAGAUCCCAAUCUUCUUAUUGAUAAAGUUGUCGGAAUCUAUGGAUCCUUCUCGCCGGAACAAGCUGAGAAUUUUUUCAAAGGUUCGGGCGGCCCGGAUCCAAACCCGAUUGAUAUUUGGCGUGUGGAGAGGCCGAACUCAAGGUUGGCAGUUUUCGCUUUUCAGAACUCUGAGAUGGUGAGUAUGGCGACAGAAGAAGCUGAAAAUAUCUGUCCUUCUCUGCAAACUGACGGAGACAUUAGAGGAACUAAUUCAAAUUUACCGCCCAAGCAAACCCUAAUGGAUUUGACUAAUAAAUUGGGCUUGACCAAUGAAAUGGGACUCACUACGGAUGUGGGCUUCCCUGAUUUAAAAGGGAAAGGUAUAGCAGUGGAUGAAGUAUUUACUCAAAAGCCCACCAACAUUAAAAAGCAAACUGGGCUUUUUAUUAGAGAAAAUUCCCAAGCUACCCGUGCCAACCAACCCCUUUUACUAAAAUUACCCAAGCCCACCAAAAUUAAGUUCGCAGAAAAGGAAGAAAUUCGACCUUUCUUUAAAAACAGUGUGAUUUGCUCCACAAACCAACCUGGAGGCUCUUCAACUUCAACGUCCAUAUCAGACCGCAUUCAUGGAGAAAUAGAUCCAACUUCGGACGUUUCUAUUUCUAGCUCAGGCAGCCUCAUCUCUGAAAACAAAUUUGCUCCUCUUGAAGCUGAAGACGUGCAGCACAUCUCGGAUUUUUCCUCCGACGUCCAAAGACUCUUCCACGAGGUAAGCACCACGGAAAGAGGUAGGGAAGAGGGUCUCCAGCUAAUAGCUGUUGAGGAUACCAGCGAGUUUCCUCUAUCCAAUGAAGAGUUAUAUGAAAUUGAAAGCGUAACCGAGUUAGAACCAGCAGCCUCUAUACAGAAUCCUUUUCCAUUGAGUAAGGAGGUGGUAGCUGCUCUACUUGAAUAUGAUUUAUGCAUUCGGGCUGUAACUAGAAAAGGGAAACAACAUAGGAAGGGUGGGGCCUCCUUGAACAACAACAAAAAGCUUACCAAAGAAGUUAAAGCACUGCUAGGUAGCUGGGAAAGGGAAGCCCAAGCGGCAAAAGAUAAUAAUAAUCCGGGCUUCGAGGGUGAUCCAUGUUAAUUAUCUCUUGGAAUGUAAGGGGUAUUAAUGCUCGCCCCAAAAGAGCGGUUGUGAAAGAGCUGCUUGUGAAAUUCAAUCCUGAUGUGGUAAUUCUACAAGAAACUAAAGUAAGCAUUGUCGAUCGACAGUUGGUGAAGUCUGUUUUGAGUAGUCGGCUUGUUGGCUGGGCUUCCUUAGAGGCUUAUGGUUCGUCGGGUGGUAUUCUUAUCUUGUGGAAAGAGGACUCAAUCACGGUGGAUGACUCAAUUCAAGGGAAGUUCUCUGUUUCUAUUCAUUGUAAACUUAAUGCUGGUUUCUGUGGAUGGAUAACAGGUGUUUACGACCCCUCUUCUUAUAGACUUAGAGACCAAUUCUGGAUGGAGCUUUCUAGCUUAUAUGGCUUGUGCAACGAUAACUGGUGUGUAGAGGGUGACUUCAAUGUAGUCAGAUGGUUAAAUGAGAAGAGCUCUGGCACUCGUCCGACUAGAAGUAUGCUUCGCUUUAACAGCCUGAUUGAGGACUUGGAUCUGGUGGAUAUUCCCUUCCGAAAUGGUAGGUUCUCUUGGUCCCGAUCAGGGAUUAGGCCUGCUGCUUCAAAGCUCGAUAGAUUCCUUCUAUCCAAGCCUUGGAUGGAGUUCUUUAGAGAAGUAAGUGUGGAAAGACUUCCUCGUACCACAUCGGAUCACUUUCCGAUUCUUUUAAAAAUGGGGGCUCAUUCCUGGGGUCCCACACCCUUUAGAUUUGAAAAUGCUUGGCUGGAUCAUCAUCUUUUCUUAAAAAAUGUUGAGAACUGGUGGGGCAGUUUGGAUGUUGAUGGCUGGCCUAUAUUCUCUUUCAUGGAAAAGUUAAAAGGACUGAAAGCCAUCCUAAAGAGUUGGAACAAGGAAACUUUUGGUAACAUUUUCUCCCAAAAACAGGUGCUGAUUGAUAAGAUUAACUCUUUUGACUCACUUGAAGAGUCAAGCUGCCUCAACGAGGAAAAUGUGAAGGAAAGGGAAAAUUGUAGAGGGGCUCUGCUUGAUUUGAUUGUGAAAGAGCAGAAGUUGUGGAUUCAGAAGUCGAAGCUUCACUGGCUUAGAGAGGGGGAGGAGAACUCAAGCUUCUUCCAAAGAUGAGUUUUGGCUCGUAAAAGUAAAAGUAUUAUUUCUUCCUUGGUUAGUAUCGAAGGGAAGACUCUUGUCACAGAGAAAGAAAUUGUGGAUGAGAUCCUCAACUUUUUUCAAUUUUAUAUGGCACAAGGAUCUCCUCGCCGUUUAUUUGUGACGAUCUUAAUUGGAGAGGCCUUAGCUUACAGGAUUCGAAUUUACUUGAGGCUCCCUUUACCAAAAAAGAAAUUAGAGAAGCUGUCUUUAAGUUAGGUUGUCUCAAGUCCCCUGGCCCUGAUGGCAUGACUGGAGAGUUUUAUAAAAAGUCAUGGAACAUUCUGAAGUCCGACCUCGUAAGGGUGUUCCAAGAUUUUUUUAAAAACGGAGUUAUUAAUAGAAGAUGUAACGAGACUUAUAUUUGCCUCAUCCCCAAAAAGAAAGAGGCGGGUCGUGUCAGUGACUUCAGACCAAUUAGCUUGAUUACCUCCUUGUAUAAAGUUAUCUCCAAGGUGCUUGCUUCAAGGCUUAAAAAAGUUCUUCCUUCGAUAAUUAAUGACUCUCAAAUGGCUUUUGGGGAGGGAAGGCAAAUCCUUGAUGCUAUUCUAACUGCUUCCGAGGCUGUUGACGAAUGGUCUUUAAGAGGCAAAAAAGGCGUGCUUUUGAAACUCGAUCUGGAGAAAGCUUAUGAUAAGGUGGAUUGGUCUUUUCUUGAUAUGGCCAUGAAACUUAAAGGCUUUGGUAAGAGAUGGAGGAAGUGGAUUUGGGGAUGCUUGUCGACAACUAAUUUUUCCAUCAUUGUCAACAGUAGGCCUAGAGGAAAGAUUAUUGCUAAAAGGGGCAUUCGUCAAGGUGAUCCUCUUGCCCCUUUUCUUUUUACGAUAGUGGGAGAUGCUCUAAGCUGCCUUAUUCACUACUGUAAUGAGAAAAGGAGUUUAAAAGGCUUUCAUUUUGAGAACCUGUCAGAGGAUUUAACCCAUCUUCAAUAUGCAGACGACACGCUUCUUUUUUCUUCCUGGGAGGAUGGAAAUCUGGAGAAUUGGUGGAAAGUGAUUAAUCUCUUCCUUAUGGGAGCCGGUCUUUCCCUUAAUAGAGCUAAAACCUCCCUGAUCGGUAUUAACCUUAGCAAUGAUGACUUAGCUCCUUUUAGUGAAUCCACGGGAUGCUCGGUUGAUAGUCUUCCCUUUAAAUAUUUGAGCUUUUCUAUUGGAGGGGGUCAUAAUAGAAAAGAGAUGUGGAACACUCUUGAAGAGUGAUUUAGAUAUAAAUUUGAUAGGUGGAGGAAUGUAUCCCUUUCCAAAGGGGGUAGACUAACUCUGGUGCAAUCAGUUCUCAAUAGCCUCCCUUGUUAUCUUUUCUCCCUUGCUCAAGCUCCAGUUGGUUGUUUGGACAGGAGGGUCUACGAAUCCAAUUGCUCACCACGUCAAAUGGGACUGCACUUCCACCCCAACUUGUUAUGGUGGUCUUGGGAUUGGCUCUUUCAGGCAAAAGAAUAUUGUUCUUCUCACUAAAUGGUUUUGGAGGUUUAGUAAGGAAGAAACUUCAUUAUGGAGGCGUUUAAUUGUGGCCAUCUAUGGUCUAGAGGAGAAUGAGUGGUCUACCAAAGAUCCAAACAGGGGAAAAUCUUACAAAUUAUGGGCUGGUAUUUUAAAGCAUAAGGAGAUAUUCUUUAAUUUUUCUGCUUUUAUUUUGGGAGAAGGAACAAAAAUCAGAUUUUGGAAGGAUAAAUGGUGUGUCGCGGAAACACUUGCAGAAAAAUUCCCUAACUUAUUCUCUUUGGCGCUGAAUAAGGACGUUUAUGUGGCUGAAUGCUGGUGUACUGCUACUCAUUCUUGGAAUUUGGACCUUAGAAGAAAUAUGCUCGAUAACGAGAUCGCCAAUGCAACCUCAGCUUUAGAAAUUCUUCAUUCUUGGGCCCCCACUGAAAGGAAUGAUAGUCUUAAAUGGAUUCCUAACAUGAAUGGCAACUUCACUACGAAGUCUACUUUUCUUAAUUUAACUAAGAGAUCCCCCUCCAUUGCUGUUCCUUUGAUUCGUCAUAUUUGGAAGAAUAAAAUUCCGAAGAAGGUGAAGUUUUUCUUAUGGUCGCUUGCUUACAGAAGCCUCAACACCCAUGAGAAGCUACAAAAAAAAAGUUCAGAACACAUUGCUUAGCCCCUCGAUGUGUUGUCUUUGCUCUAAAGAUGAGGAAACCUUGGAUCAUCUAUUUCUACAUUGUCUCUUUACAAAAAAAACUUGGAACACUCUGUUUGGUAUUUUUGACUUGGAGCUUUGUCUUCCUAGUAAGAUUGAUAGCUGGAUGAUUGAAGGUCUCAAUAUUAGAGGUUAUAGCCCAAAAGGAAACAUCUUAUGGAAAUGUGCGACUCGCUCCCUUUUGUGGUGCAUUUAGAAAGAAAGGAAUAGCAGAAUUUUUGAAGAUAGAUUUAAUUCUUUUGAUUCUUUUUGGACUGUGGUUCAACACACAGCUUCUUGGUGGAGUACAAAUUACACCAAACACUUUUGUAAUUAUAGCCUUUCUAUGAUUUUCAACAAUUGGAAGGCCAUCAUUUCUUAGUUCCCUAGCUUAUUCCGGGGAGGGCCCUCUUGUCCCUCGCCCUUAGGCUGUUCUGUUUUGUUAUAUGAAUAUACUUGUCUCUUAUAAAAAAAACAAUGAAUUUGGUAAAACCAAAUGGCAGAUCAUGGAGAUAAGAUGUCUUUCAAUCAUCUUACGUAAGGAAGUUGAUGAAAGUAACAUUAAACACAGUCUUUGGUCAUAAAGUACCAGAAAUUUUUUAAUUUCAAUAUUACUAAAAUGUAGGGUAUUGAUUUCUUCGGUUGCUGGGGUGGAGGGGAGGCUGUCAAAAGAAUCUAAACUAGAUGAUAUCUGAAUCUUACCACGAAGCUUUCUACAUCAGACGAAGAAACUAAUUUCUUUUCUAUUACUUGAGCUUCAAGAAAUCCUGCCAAAAGUAAUCUUCUGACCAUGACAGUGGGCUGCAAAAAAUAAAAUUACAAAAAGUUAUUACAAUAUCUAUACCUGUAUCAAUACUCGAAAUAUAAAAAACUACAAGCUAUUCAGUAAUUACCUCAUCUUUCUCAAAUGCAACAGACUGUGGAGUCUUAUGAAUAAGGAUUAUCCCAUCAGGCUGCAAAACUCUUAAGAUCUCCUCGCACAACUGAUCACUUGGAAAAUCAGAUCUACAAAUAGAAAUGAUAACAUCCAUGGAUGAUGCUCCAAGUGGCAGCUUAUCUAUAUCAUAAAACAACAACUAUCAAUAACAAAAAUUAUAUCACAAUAAGAGCCUAUCAACUCCGCAUAUGCACAAUGCCAAAAAACACAUAAGGAGGAGGAGAUGAGGAGGGAAAUUAAGAGUUAAUCAUCAUCCCAUGUCGGCAAAACUAACAAAAUAAAAUGAAAAGCUGGCAUUAACAGGGAAAAGAUGCUGCAGAUAACAUUGAAAAGCCACUGGUCUGCAUGCAAGCUCUAAUAAACGGGCCAAGAAAUCUUGGCUCUGAGGACACUGACAACUGACAUUUAUAUUCAGCUAUUCUUGAUGUUUUGAACAUCUAGUGAGGCUGACACCUUGAUGCAGGACUCAAACUGAGACUUGUGGCUUUCUUGAACCAUAAAAUGCUUACUCCUUUGCGAAAAUUCCCCGAGAAUUAAAAUCUCUAUGCCUCAUCUAAUAAUUAGAAAAAUAAUAGUCAUUUGCUUAAUUCUAAAAAAUUAUUUAAGUUUGAGUUGUGACGAAUUAUUCCGUGACUUCAAAAACAUCGAAGGCAAAAAUUUAUAGUACAAAUCUGUCCUAUUAAUGAUAAUACAAAGAUACCCAUUAAGAAUUUUUGGUUAUGUGAAAAUUGCCGGGGUGAAUUUUUUUUCUUUUUCCAAACUCUCAUAUGAGAUAUGACUAUCAUGUUAAGCAAUACAUUGUCAAACCAAUCUAGGAUUUGUAAAAUGUUUUGAAGUCACUAUUUGAGGCUUACGCCUCAAACCACCUCGAGGCUUACUCUGUGACACCAAUUUACACCUUCAGCUUUCGAAAUGAAAGACAAAAUGCACAAGUCCGUUGAACUAGAUAUCAAAGAGUUGAUUGCAGUGUUGAAUAGAACAGGCCCUGAGAAGUCAUAAAAAAC